ensembl:lncRNA
AUGAAGAUGCAGAUGCUGCUGGUGUUGGCUGUAGCAGUCUUGAUGGUUCCCAGUCUGUCUGAGGGACGGAUCCUCUCAAAAUGUGAGCUGAAGAGCUUAUUGGAGGAGGCGGCCUUCAAAUUCAACCUGACUGAGAAAGCCAGAGAGAAUUAUCUGACAAACAAGGACUUUGUGGCAAAAAUCGUCUGCCACGUAGAGAAGGCCACAGGUUUCAACACCCGUUUUGUGACUCCUUGGAGGGAUGAUGAUGACAGCCCUACCCGCCCUGCUAAGGAUGAUAACCGUCCGACCCGUCCUACCCACCCUGAGCACACUACUAGGAGGGGUAAGAGACACGCUGGGGAUUCUCACGGAGAUUCAUCCAGCGCUGAAAGUCAUCAGUUCAGCCCAUCAAAAGAGGACUCCAGAAAAGAAGACUCCAGCGAAGAGGAGACCAGCGAAGAAGAGACCAUGUGGACCCUCUACGGCUUGUUUCAGCUGAGCGACCGUGUGAUCUGUGCCAACGGCUCCACUCCGUCUCUGAACCUUUGCCAGAUGAACUGCAGUGAUUUGAUUGACGACGACAUCAGUGACGACUUGGACUGUGUGGAGACAAUCAAACAGACAGUGGAAAGUGGGCCCGGGGAUCAUAAAAUGGCUUUAAUGAGAAUGUUUAAGCUGCUCUUCCAGAAGGAAUGUGUCAUGACGGUUGCCUCUAGCUACUUCUCCGAGUGUUGAAUGAGAAGCCAUGUCAGAUGACGACCCCCCCCAAAGUGUCUUUUCGCACACUAAUCGUUCACUCUUUCAACAAUACAUUGAGUUACAUAGGGUGAAUUUACACAGGCAGCCCAAUUCUAAGCUUUUGCCCAAUUAUUAACCAAUUGCAAAAAAUGACCAAUGCCAAAAGAUCAUAAUUGAGCUUCCUGUGUAAAUGUAGCCAUGGUGUGUAACAAUUAGUUCUCAUCAGCCUCAUUUUCACAAAGUACACCAAAAUAGAAUGUAUGUAGAAAGAAUAAAGUUUAACAGUGUAUUUCUUUGGUUUUGUUUAAUCAUCAUUUUUUGUUGUUGUUGAUGUGAACACCUGCACCUACUUUUAAAUGCAAUUGGGAUAAAUAUAUAACAGGUUAAAGCAAGGCAUACCUUGGAUGUAACCAUGGGAUAAACUGAACAGGAAGAGGGUUUACUCCGCCCAAAAUCUGUUCACAAAAAUAAGACCAUGAUGUGAGGAAUUUUUGUAUGGAAGUCAAUGAGUGUGUCAAAUUUGAUCAAUAAAAAAAUGUAAUUACUAAUUUGCUACGUGAGACUUACAGUGGAUAUCAUAAGUAUUCACCAACCAUAGAUUAAAAAAAAAAUUGUGUUGCAU